rnacentral:sRNA from 1 species
GACCUCCUCCCAGGUUCCGAACGUUCAAAGGCCGGCACUCCUCCUCCCAGCCGGCCUUACAAAUAGCACCCACCGCACCUCCUCCCGCGGUGGGUGUUGUU